GACGAACGCUGGCGGCGUGCCUAAUACAUGCAAGUCGAACGCAGUGGGGACGGGUGAGUAACACGUGGGUAACCUCCCAUCAGAGGGGAUAACACUUGGAAACAGGUGCUAAACCGAUACUGAUGGAUGGACCCGCGGUGCAUUAGCUAGUUGGUGAGGUAACGGCUCACCAAGGCCACGAUGCAUAGCCGACCUGCGCGGGUGAUCGGCCACACUGGGAUUGAGACACGGCCCAGCCUCCGACGGGAGGCAGCAGGAGGGAAUCUUCGGCAAUGGACGAAAGGCUGACCGAGCAACGCCGCGGGAGGGAAGAAGGUUUUCGGAUCGUAAAACUCUGGUGUUCGAGAAGCGGUAUCUAACCAGAAAGGCACGGCUAACUACGUGCCAGCAGCCGCGGUAAUAC
rnacentral:rRNA from 1 species